GCCUCAGGAGACUGUCUCAUGAGCAGGGAAGUGUUGUGGCCGGCUGGACUGUGCCUGCUUUAGAGUAGACAGAGAGGGACGUGGGCAUGUUUUAUUUGGAGGGAUGUUUAUUCCCUGAGAUUACAGAAGUACCCAGAAGUGUCUGGGAUCCCUGUCACAUCUGUGUCAUGUUGUUAUUUGAAGCAUCAGACUUUAUUACUAUGCUAGGUCCUCACUACUGCCCCCUGCAGGCUGGGGAAAGGGAACUUUUUGUCUACGCUAAGUCCCUGGCUUCCUCUUAAUCGGUUGGUCUUGCUAAUUGAAGCUCAGAAAAAUAUAGAUGGUCUCUCCCGACCCUGUUUGUGGUGUGUGCUGGCCUAUCAGGAUCUGGUUAGCCUUUGGAAUUUUUGUUGAUGAAAUCUCAAUACAUAAGGCGUCAACAGGGGGCUGGAGAGAUGGCUCAGGAGUUAAGAGCCCUGACUGCUCUUCCACAGGUCCUGAGUUCAAUUCCCAGCAACCACAUGGUGGUUCCCAACCAUCUGUAAUGGGAUCUGAUGCCCUCUUCUGGUGUGUCUGAAGACAACAGUAGUGUACUCACGUAUAUGAAAUAAAUAAAUCUUAAAAAAAAAAAUAAGGUGUUAACAUGAGAAGAGGCGCUUCAAGCUCUUCUAAGCCUUGAUGGUGUCUCCCUUUAGGCAAAGAUCUGAAAUAUGACUACAGUUGUGCUGUUGAUGGGUUCUGCUUUAGAAAUUGUAUUUUUUUUUAAAAAAAUGUUUUAAUUUUGUCCAUCCUAGAGAUAAUAACGAAAGAGAAAUGUCUGCAUGUGUGCACACACACACAUCUUAGAUACACAAAAAGAAAUGUUCAGAUUCCUUUGAGAAUUUCAAAUGAAAAAUAAUCUUUCUGUAUGUGGUGUCUAACAUCUACAAGGUGGGGGCUGGAGAAGUGGCUUGGUGCUCAAAGGCACUUGCUGCUCUUGCAGAAGGCCAAAAGAUGUGAUUUAGUUCCUAGCCCAUCAGGCAGCUCACAGCCACAUGACUAUAACUCUAGACCCAGAGAAUCUGAUGUUCUUCUCCUCUGAGGGCAUCUGAAUGCAUAUAGUGUGUGUGCAUGAACACAGCACUGGACAGUACACUCUGGUGUACACACUUGCGCACACAUAUACACACACAAUAAUUUUUUAAACUCCAUAAAGUUAUUAACAUGUCAGCAGGCAGAGCAUUGCAGUUUAUUUAACUGAUGGCCAGGUUCUUGUUAGAACACCAAGCACACACUUGAGAUUAUUUAUUGAUCGAGGCAAAGUAAUUAGUCAUGUUUGGGUUUGCUUUUUUUGUUGAUAAGAUUAACAAUGUGUGCUUUGUAAAUGCCUUUUUCCUUAUCUUCUAUGUCUCUGUCAAGGACAGAAGUUGUCAGUUUAAUACACGAGCUCUUGUGUUGAAAGUGUCCAGGCCGUAGAACUUCAUUGCUACUGACUUUACACAGUUUACAAGUUUCUCUUUGGACAUAUCUGGUAUUAUUACAGAAAUCUCCCAGAUUAUACACAUAAACAUUUUAUGGACAUUUUUUGGGCAUUUAAGCCAUCAGGCCUAUUGCAAGAGUGCCUCCUGUAGCAGUUUUAACCAAAUUUCAUUCCCCUGGUACCGUGGAGCUUUAUUUUGCUAUUGAACGCCAAGCUGAAUGUGAGUGACAGGGAACAAUCCCAGCUCUGGGCUCUGCAGAAACUCACAAACUAAACUCCUUUCUGGUUGUCUGUUUUCAAAAUAGAUACAAUAAACAUUGUUUAUG
rnacentral:lncRNA from 1 species